rnacentral:RNase_P_RNA from 1 species
AAAGCAUAGCAAAUGCUCGCUUCCGUAACUUGGAAGAGGAAAGUCCGAGCUGCAAAAGACAAACAUUCCAUCUAACGGAUGGCUAGGGAAACCUAAGGGACAGUGCAACAGAAAGCAAACUACCAUAAAAUAUUAUGGAAAAGGUGAAACGGCGGGGUAAGAGCCCACCAGCGAUUUUGGCAACAAUUUCGGCUAUGUAAACCCAAUGUGCAGCAAGAAGGGAUGGUUUUAGUCUUUAAUUUUACCCUUCGCUUGAUUUUGUUUGCAAAAACAAAACUAGAUAAAUGAGCAUUCUAGACAGAACUCGGCUUAUCGCUAUGCUUUUUUA